rnacentral:rRNA from 2 species
AGCAGCCCCGCGGUAAUACGUAGGGUGCGAGCGUUGUCCGGAAUUACUGGGCGUAAAGAGCUCGUAGGCGGUUUGUCGCGUCGUCCGUGAAAACUUGGGGCUCAACCCCAAGCUUGCGGGCGAUACGGGCAGACUUGAGUACUGCAGGGGAGACUGGAAUUCCUGGUGUAGCGGUGAAAUGCGCAGAUAUCAGGAGGAACACCGGUGGCGAAGGCGGGUCUCUGGGCAGUAACUGACGCUGAGGAGCGAAAGCGUGGGUAGCGAACAGGAUUAGAUACCCUGGUAGUCCACGCCGUAAACGGUGGGCGCUAGGUGUGGGUUUCCUUCCACGGGAUCCGUGCCGUAGCUAACGCAUAAGCGCCCCGCCU